rnacentral:pre_miRNA from 1 species
AAUAAGUGUAGUUUUACACUAUUCACGUUCAACGUUUGAUCGUUCGUCUUAUUUAAAAAUUUUUUAUGAUUAGUAUUUUUAUUGCUAUUAGAUGCUAAAAUAUGAAUAGUACUUUAUGUGUGACUAAUUUUUUUUUUAUUUUUUUCACAAAUUUUUCAAAUAAGACGGACGGUCAAAUGUUAGACACGGAUAUUCACGGCUGCACUUAUU